UAGGGAAUAUUGCAAAAUGGGCGAAAGCCCGAUGCAGCAACGCCGCGUGGGCGAUGAAGGCCUUCGGGUCGUAAAGCCCUUUUUGAGGGGAUGAGGAAGGACAGUACCCUCAGAAUAAGCCUCGGCUAACUACGUGCCAGCAGCCGCGGUAAAACGUAGGAGGCGAGCGUUAUCCGGAUUUACUGGGCGUAAAGCGCGUGCAGGCGGAUUGGAGAGUUGGAUGUGAAAGCUCCCGGCUUAACUGGGAGAGGUCGUUCAAUACUUCCAGUCUUGAGUGCAGUAGAGGGAAGUGGAAGUCCGGGUGUAGUGGUGAAAUACGUAGAUAUCUGGAAGAACACCAGUUGCGAAGGCGGUCUCUUGGUCCGACACUGACGCUGAGGCGCGAAAGCGUGGGGAGCAAACA
rnacentral:rRNA from 1 species